CCAUGGCACUUGCAAGGGCAUUAGAACAGGCAG
rnacentral:sRNA from 1 species